rnacentral:rRNA from 1 species
UACGUAAGGAAAGCGGAAGCCGGGAAUGGAAAGCCCGGUGCAAGCGGGGUACCAGCCACUUUGGCAAAUCCGGGUGGCAAUGGGAAGCCGUGAUGCGGAGCGAAAUAAAGUAGCGAAGUCCGUGAGCCAUGCGUCAAGAAAAGCCGCUAUUGUUUAUACCGUACCCGUACCGUAAACCGACACAGGUGGAUGAGGAGAGAAUCCUAAGGCCGGCGGAAGAAGCAUUGUCAAGGAACUCGGCAAAAUGGCCCCGUAACUUAGGGAUAAGGGGUGCCUGGGAAACCAGGCCGCAGAGAAUAGGCUCAAGCAACUGUUUAGCAAAAACACAGGUCUAUGCGAAACCGAAAGGUGAGGUAUAUGGGCUGACGCCUGCCCGGUGCUGGAAGGUUAAGAGGAGAGGUUAGCGGUAACGCGAAGCUUUGAAUUUAAGCCCCAGUAAACGGCGGCCGUAACGAUAACGGUCCUAAGGUAGCGAAAUUCCUUGUCGGGUAAGUUCCGACCCGCACGAAAGGCGUAAUGAUUUGAGCGCUGUCUCGACAAUGCAUCCGGUGAAAUUGAAGUACCAGUGAAGAUGCUGGUUACCUGCGCCAGGACGGAAAGACCCCAUGGAGCUUUACUCCAGUCUGGUACUGGGACUCGGUAUUGCAUGUACAGGAUAGGUGGGAGGCUAGGAGAUGGUAACGCCAGUUGCCAUGGAGCCGCUGUUGGGAUACCACCCUUGCAGUAUUGGGUUUCUAACCAGCCGCCGUGACCCGGCGGUGGGACAAUGCCAGACGGGGAGUUUGACUGGGGCGGUCGCCUCCGAAAGGGUAUCGGAGGCGCCCAAAGGUUCCCUCAGAAUGGACGGAAACCAUUCGAAGAGUGCAAAGGCAGAAGGGAGCUUGACUGCGACACCGACGGGUGGAGCAGGUACGAAAGUAGGGCUUAGUGAUCCGGUGGUAUUAAGUGGGAAUGCCAUCGCUCAACGGAUAAAAGCUACCCUGGGAUAACAGGCUUAUCACUCCCAAGAGUUCACAUCGACGGAGUGGUUUGGCACCUCGAUGUCGGCUCAUCGCAUCCUGGGGCUGUAGUAGGUCCCAAGGGUUGGGCUGUUCGCCCAUUAAAGCGGUACGCGAGCUGGGUUCAGAACGUCGUGAGACAGUUCGGUCCCUAUCCGGCGUGGGCGUAGGAUAUCUGAGAGGAGCUGUCCUUAGUACGAGAGGACCGGGAUGGACGGGCCGCUGGUGCAUCGGUUAGACUGCCAAGUCUACGGCCGAGUAGCCAAGCCCGGAAGGGAUAAACGCUGAAGGCAUCUAAGCGUGAAGCCCCCCUUAAGAUGAGAUAUCCCAUUCGAAAGAAGUAAACCCCCUUGAAGACGACGAGGUAGAUAGGGCAGAGGUGGAAGUGUGUAACACAUGGAGCUGACUGUUACUAAUCGGGUGAGGGCUUGACCUA